rnacentral:rRNA from 1 species
CCUACGGGAGUCAGCAGUGAGGAAUAUUGGUCAAUGGGCGCAAGCCUGAACCAGCCAAGUAGCGUGAAGGAUGACUGCCCUACGGGUUGUAAACUUCUUUUAUAAAGGAAUAAAGUGAGGCACGUGUGCCGUUUUGUAUGUACUUUAUGAAUAAAGAUCGGCUAACUCCGUUCCAGCAGCAGCGGUAAUACGGAGGAUCCGAGGGUUAUCCGGAUUUAUUGGGGUUAAAGGGAGCGUAGAUGGGUUGUUAAGUCAGUUGUGAAAGUUUUCGGCUCAACCGUAAAAUUGCAAUUGAUACUGGCAGCCUUGAGUACAGUUGAGGUAGGCGGAAUUCGUGGUGUAGCGGUGAAAUGCUUAGAUAUCACGAAGAACUCCGAUUGCGAAGGCAGCUUACUAAACUGCCACUGACGCUGAGGCUCGAAGGUGCGGGUACCAAACAGGAUUAGAUACCCUAGUAGUC